rnacentral:rRNA from 1 species
CCUACGGGGGACAGCAGUAGGGAAUAUUGCUCAAUGGGGGAAACCCUGAUGCAGCAACGCCGCGUGGAGGAUGAAGGCUUUCGGAUUGUAAACUACUUUCGUCAGAGAAGAUAAUGACGGUAUCUAACGAAUAAGCCCCGGCUAACUCCGUGCCAGCAGCCGCGGUAAUACGGAGGGUGCAAGCGUUACUCGGAAUCACUGGGCGUAAGGAGCGCGUAGGCGGGUUAGCAAGUCAGAUGUGAAAUCCUAUGGCUUAACCAUAGAACUGCAUUUGAAACUGUUAUUCUAGAGUAUGGGAGAGGUAGGUGGAAUUCUAGGUGUAGGGGUAAAAUCCGUAGAGAUCAAGAGGAAUAC